rnacentral:rRNA from 1 species
ACUCCUGCGGGAGGCAGCAGUGGGGAAUUUUGGACAAUGGGCGAAAGCCUGAUCCAGCAAUGCCGCGUGUGUGAAGAAGGCCUUCGGGUUGUAAAGCACUUUUGUACGGAAAGAAAUCCUUGGCUCUAAUACAGUCGGGGGAUGACGGUACCGGAAGAAUAAGCACCGGCUAACUACGUGCCAGCAGCCGCGGUAAUACGUAGGGUGCGAGCGUUAAUCGGAAUUACUGGGCGUAAAGCGUGCGCAGGCGGUUUGCUAAGACCGAUGUGAAAUCCCCGGGCUCAACCUGGGAACUGCAUUGGUGACUGGCAGGCUGGAGUAUGGCAGAGGGGGGUAGAAUUCCACGUGUAGCAGUGAAAUGCGUAGAGAUGUGGAGGAAUACCGAUGGCGAAGGCAGCCCCCUGGGCCAAUACUGACGCUCAUGCACGAAAGCGUGGGGAGCAAACAGGAUUAGAAACCCCAGUAGUCCCAUGA